CACACACACACACACAGAUUCCUCUGUGCAUGAAAAGUAAGUUAUUAAAGAGACAGACUGAAGGCAGAAGAAAGACAAAAAGCAGAGGAAGAUGCUGCCCGUGGUAGGAGGUUGGAACUAGAUAUCUUUGAGGUCUCUUCCAACCCAAGCCAUUCUGUGAUUCUAGGAUUCUAUGGGAAGUUUUCACCCACUAGAGCAGAAGCUGUUAGAAAAGAACAGCAAGAAAACAGCAUUGUAAAGAGGCAAUGUUUGCACUGCUUUUGCUAUCCCUCUUGGCAGUGCUGCUCCCUCCUUUCUGCCCUCAGUAGAGUCAGCCAAGCAGAAGUGAAAGUGUGGUCCUGUUGCCAAGUACUGACAAAGAGCCCAAAUACUUCUGCUAAAUAAUACAGCACAAUUGAAUAUAACUUGGCUCAAUGAAUGCCCCUACUGAAAAAGACAAGAACACUUAAAAGAAUAGAAAUAGAAAAUUGUGGGGUUUUUUUUGUUUUGUUUUGUUUUUGUUUUUUAAAGAGAUCAUCCUUCCCAAUCAGCUAUGACACACCUAGUGAACACGUUGUGCUUGGUAGGACUGAGUGUGAUAUAUUAGGCUCUUUUCUCAGAGCUCCGAUCUUAGUUUUAUCACAGUUCUCAGGAAAUUAACUGCAUUGUAUGUUGUUCUUUCCUUUGUAAGGUACCCGGCUGUAGGCUAAAUGCUGAGUCACAGCUUGAACCAGUGACUGAGCACCUGGUGGGAAGGUAGGGCCAACCCAAAGGAGCUCAGGUGCAAGCAGUGUACCUAAGUGACUGCAAGGGGUGGAGCCACGAUCCACCUCCUCCAGACCUCAUUUAAGGCCUGGCAGUGGAGAGAAGAGCUUUUUGCUGGAGACUCCUGCCUACCUGAGGUCUUCUGAAGAUGUUCAUAGGGACAAUUCAGCUGGCUGGCCAGUAGCUUAUUAUCCAUCCCUAUUCAAGGAACACUUUUCCAAGAAACACUUCAGCUUCCAGCACAGUAACUACAGAGGAAAUGCUGCUGGCUGCGGUGCAGCAUGACAAGUAGUAAUCUCUCCUCAUGCAAACUUAAAGUAUAGUGAGACUGACAUGGCACCUCAGCACGUGUACUACCCAACUCUGGGAUUUCAAACUACAUGCCAUUCCCUUCCAGUUGGAGACAAGUUUAUGAGCUUGAGCAGGCAAUGAAAGCUUCUUUCCAUACUAAUGAAAUGUCCAAGUCCUAAUGGAUUAGUAGUUUUCAUAUCAGAUUAAAUCUGCUUUUUUUUUUUUGUUUUGUUUUGUUUUUUGCUGAUAAAGGCACAAAAGUCACUCCUAAUAGGCUUUCACAUUUUGUUAGCAAAAAUACAUUUCAAUAGAGCACAGUGCCAAUGAGAUACAAACAAGACAGAAAAGGCCCUAACACGUUAUGACGGACUGCUCAGAAG
ensembl:lncRNA